rnacentral:rRNA from 1 species
GGUCAAGUGAAGAAGCGCAUACGGUGGAUGCCUUGGCAGUCAGAGGCGAUGAAAGACGUGGUAGCCUGCGAAAAGCUUCGGGGAGUCGGCAAACAGACUUUGAUCCGGAGAUGUCUGAAUGGGGGAACCCAGCCAUCAUAAGAUGGUUAUCUUGUACUGAAUACAUAGGUGCAAGAGGCGAACCAGGGGAACUGAAACAUCUAAGUACCCUGAGGAAAAGAAAUCAACCGAGAUUCCCUUAGUAGUGGCGAGCGAACGGGGACUAGCCCUUAAGUGGCUUUGAGAUUAGCGGAACGCUCUGGAAAGUGCGGCCAUAGUGGGUGAUAGCCCUGUACGCGAAAAUCUCUUAGUCAUGAAAUCGAGUAGGACGGAGCACGAGAAACUUUGUCUGAAUAUGGGGGGACCAUCCUCCAAGGCUAAAUACUACUGACUGACCGAUAGUGAACUAGUACCGUGAGGGAAAGGCGAAAAGAACCCCGGAGAGGGGAGUGAAAUAGAUCCUGAAACCGUAUGCGUACAAGCAGUGGGAGCCUACUUUGUUAGGUGACUGCGUACCUUUUGUAUAAUGGGUCAGCGACUUAUUUUCAGUGGCGAGCUUAACCGAAUAGGGGAGGCGUAGCGAAAGCGAGUCUUAAUAGGGCGUCUAGUCGCUGGGAAUAGACCCGAAACCGGGCGAUCUAUCCAUGGGCAGGUUGAAGGUUGGGUAACACUAACUGGAGGACCGAACCGACUACCGUUGAAAAGUUAGCGGAUGACCUGUGGAUCGGAGUGAAAGGCUAAUCAAGCUCGGAGAUAGCUGGUUCUCCUCGAAAGCUAUUUAGGUAGCGCCUCAUGUAUCACUGUAGGGGGUAGAGCACUGUUUCGGCUAGGGGGUCAUCCCGACUUACCAAACCGAUGCAAACUCCGAAUACCUACAAGUGCCGAGCAUGGGAGACACACGGCGGGUGCUAACGUCCGUCGUGAAAAGGGAAACAACCCAGACCGUCAGCUAAGGUCCCAAAGUUAUGGUUAAGUGGGAAACGAUGUGGGAAGGCUUAGACAGCUAGGAGGUUGGCUUAGAAAGCAGCCACCCUUUAAAGAAAGCGUAAUAGCUCACUAGUCGAGUCGGCCUGCGCGGAAGAUGUAACGGGGCUCAAACCAUACACCGAAGCUACGGGUAUCACGUAAGUGAUGCGGUAGAGGAGCGUUCUGUAAGCCUGUGAAGGUGAGUUGAGAAGCUUGCUGGAGGUAUCAGAAGUGCGAAUGCUGACAUGAGUAACGACAAUGGGUGUGAAAAACACCCACGCCGAAAGACCAAGGUUUCCUGCGCAACGUUAAUCGACGCAGGGUUAGUCGGUCCCUAAGGCGAGGCUGAAAAGCGUAGUCGAUGGAAAACAGGUUAAUAUUCCUGUACUUCUGGUUAUUGCGAUGGAGGGACGGAGAAGGCUAGGCCAGCUUGGCGUUGGUUGUCCAAGUUUAAGGUGGUAGGCUGAGAUCUUAGGUAAAUCCGGGAUCUUAAGGCCGAGAGCUGAUGACGAGCUAACUUUUAGUUAGCGAAGUGGUUGAUGCCAUGCUUCCAAGAAAAGCUUCUAAGCUUCAGGUAACCAGGAACCGUACCCCAAACCGACACAGGUGGUUGGGUAGAGAAUACCAAGGCGCUUGAGAGAACUCGGGUGAAGGAACUAGGCAAAAUGGCACCGUAACUUCGGGAGAAGGUGCGCCGGUGAGGGUGAAGGACUUGCUCCGUAAGCUCAUGCCGGUCGAAGAUACCAGGCCGCUGCGACUGUUUAUUAAAAACACAGCACUCUGCAAACACGAAAGUGGACGUAUAGGGUGUGACGCCUGCCCGGUGCCGGAAGGUUAAUUGAUGGGGUUAGCUAACGCGAAGCUCUUGAUCGAAGCCCCGGUAAACGGCGGCCGUAACUAUAACGGUCCUAAGGUAGCGAAAUUCCUUGUCGGGUAAGUUCCGACCUGCACGAAUGGCGUAACGAUGGCGGCGCUGUCUCCACCCGAGACUCAGUGAAAUUGAAAUCGCUGUGAAGAUGCAGUGUAUCCGCGGCUAGACGGAAAGACCCCGUGAACCUUUACUAUAGCUUUGCACUGGACUUUGAAUUUGCUUGUGUAGGAUAGGUGGGAGGCUUUGAAGCGUGGACGCCAGUUCGCGUGGAGCCAUCCUUGAAAUACCACCCUGGCAACUUUGAGGUUCUAACUCAGGUCCGUUAUCCGGAUCGAGGACAGUGUAUGGUGGGUAGUUUGACUGGGGCGGUCUCCUCCUAAAGAGUAACGGAGGAGUACGAAGGUGCGCUCAGACCGGUCGGAAAUCGGUCGUAGAGUAUAAAGGCAAAAGCGCGCUUGACUGCGAGACAGACACGUCGAGCAGGUACGAAAGUAGGUCUUAGUGAUCCGGUGGUUCUGUAUGGAAGGGCCAUCGCUCAACGGAUAAAAGGUACUCCGGGGAUAACAGGCUGAUACCGCCCAAGAGUUCAUAUCGACGGCGGUGUUUGGCACCUCGAUGUCGGCUCAUCACAUCCUGGGGCUGAAGCCGGUCCCAAGGGUAUGGCUGUUCGCCAUUUAAAGUGGUACGCGAGCUGGGUUUAGAACGUCGUGAGACAGUUCGGUCCCUAUCUGCCGUGGACGUUUGAGAUUUGAGAGGGGCUGCUCCUAGUACGAGAGGACCGGAGUGGACGAACCUCUGGUGUUCCGGUUGUCACGCCAGUGGCAUUGCCGGGUAGCUAUGUUCGGAAUAGAUAACCGCUGAAAGCAUCUAAGCGGGAAACUAGCCUCAAGAUGAGAUCUCACUGGAACCUUGAGUUCCCUGAAGGGCCGUCGAAGACUACGACGUUGAUAGGUUGGGUGUGUAAGCGCUGUGAGGCGUUGAGCUAACCAAUACUAAUUGCCCGUGAGGCUUGACCAU